rnacentral:lncRNA from 10 species
GCUUCCGCAGGAAUGAACCCAGAAAACAGUCUACAACUAUAUUUCCAGCACAGGGGCUGGCACACACUGAGUGCUGAACUGAACUGAACAGAUGCUGUAAGCAAGAAAGAGUCAAAUUUUGCAAGAUUUUACUGAGGAGGAAGGCACUACCUCAAAGCCAGCAAAAGAAGAGUUUCUAGAGAAAGGAGAGGAUUGAUGGGUUCACUGGUGCUCACUGGAAACUAUCAAAUUUGUAAUGUGAGCAUCCCAACAUGCAGAGGAACCAGAAGUUCAAUAUUUGAGCUGAUUAAGGAUCAAUCAGCCAGUUCCCUGGGCAGGGGAGAGACUCUGCUUCCACAUUAUCAGGGACUCAGAGAAGCUGGAUAAACGUCUCUGCUUUCUUUCCUCUGGUCCAUCCUGCUCCAGUAUCAGUGUUCCCCCAUACACUUCCUGUGGUUUCACAACCGACUGCCAUAGCUCAUGUUACCCUCGUGGCUUGGGGCACCCUUUUCUCGAUCAUUACUUUCCUUCUCUUUCUUCAUUUCUGAUCUAAUUCCUACUUUUUGUUCAUGUCUCAGCUCUUGGAGCUGUCCCUAGGUCCUCAGAGUGAGCUCUGUGUUACCCUGGCAGCUAUCUCAGGUAUCAUAUUGACUUAUCUGUUGCCUGGCACACUGUCAGUACUUACAUUAAAAAGAAGAUAGUUAUCUUUGCCUCUUUCAUGUUGUGAGGAUUAAAUGACAUUAAGCACCUGGCACAUGUCAGAAGUGCUAUAUUCAUUAACUUCUUCACUUCUACUCCAUCGUUUAAACCUGAACAUCCCUUCAACACCUAGUUCCAGUUCCUCUUCCUCCAGGAAGCUUCUCAAAAUACUACUGCCUCUUUGCUGACUACAUUGUGUCCACUAAUAAAUCUCUGCUUAACAUUUGAUCCCUGGGCAGAUUUCUAUGAGAAAAUAUACCAAGAUUUUUUUCAAUUUUUAUCUAUUCACUCCAAGCAAUUAUGAUGAUGGUAUGGCUAUCUAAAAUGUAUUCAAUUUGAUGCACAGCAACUAGAAUUUGAUAAUUCCAGGAUUGUUAGGCAUUGUAAGAUCUUAACUCCAAUCUCCACAUGAUGAAUGGAACCUCUCUCCUGCAUGAAAGGUGAAUAGUAGCUUCCUCAUCUAUUAUUCUUAUACCAUCCAAGAGAGCCAUCAGAUGGGAGUUACUUUAAUAUUUGGCAAACUAAAAAAACUUGAGAAUCAGAGAAGGGAGUGCAUUUCCAAGUGCAUCUAGCUAGCAAAUGAAUUGAGGAUGACAUCCCAGGUCUCCUGACUGUCUAACAUCUUACUGCCUCUGCUACACCC